rnacentral:rRNA from 1 species
GAAUGGUUCAGGAUGAACGCUAGCUACAGGCUUAACACAUGCAAGUCGAGGGGCAGCAUGGUCUUAGCUUGCUAAGGCUGAUGGCGACCGGCGCACGGGUGAGCAACACGUAUCCAACCUGCCGUCUACUCUUGGCCAGCCUUCUGAAAGGAAGAUUAAUCCAGGAUGGGAUCAUGAGUUCACAUGUCCGCAUGAUUAAAGGUAUUUUCCGGUAGACGAUGGGGAUGCG